GAGAAGUUGUAAGCAUAAAGUUGUUGGUUUGUAUAAGUUAUUAGAGGCUUGCGAUGUAGUUGAAGGGCACGAAAUGGAAAGGACCUGUGAUAGACCCUUGAGAAUCGAUGGCUUCAAUAGCGUUCCAUGGUGAUCGGCGUUUAUCACGCGUGGCUAUUUACUUUUACUGUGUAUAGGGUUUAAUAGCAAGUAAUUUUCCGAAAUAAAAAUUUGACCAGCGUGAAAUAGUUGUAUAGUAAUGAACCAAUGCAGAAUAAUAAGUGAAAAGCUUAUGUGUUUUGUUUUAUUAUAUGUGUUAUUUUAUCAGAUUUCCGCUGGCAAAAGAAGUAGUAGGAUUCCCAUCGGCAGAAGAGCUGAUGAGGCGUGCACGUAAAAGAAUUGUACCACCCCAACCACAAUCACUACAAGAGUUUGACGAGAUGAUGACGCUUGAUCAGUGGAAAAUUUGGGGGAAGUCUCUAAGUGGUGAACGGUUUUUUCUUAAAACCAUUGUUUCCACCGAUGGUGGGGUGGCCGCUUUAUUUGUCUCACCACAUUUCAAGGAUUUGCUAGGUACAGAAAAUUCUAACGUUCAGGCUGAUGGCACUUUCAAGUCUGUGCCUCUUCAUCCUAGAAGCGAACAACUAUUUACCCUGCACGUGGUAGAUACUGAAAGGCAUGGAGGACUUCAAAAUCAGAUAUACCCUGCAGCUUACGCACUUAUGACGAGAAGGACAACUGAAGCGUACGAAGCCGUUUUACGAGGUUUAAUCGAAGAAGUGCCAACAUUUAAGCCAGCAACUUUAAUGAGCGACUUCGAACCCGCAUUGCGCUCUGCCUUUCGACGUGUUUUUCCAAAUGUAUCAGUGAAAGGAUGUUGGUUUCACUACGCCCAGGCAAUUUUUCGACGCGCGCAACAACUGGGAAUGGCGAGAACCAUCCGCUCUGAAACUGGAGAAACGGCUUUGAAGAUGCUUAUGGCCUUACCGUUACUACCCACAGACAAAAUUAUAUCUGGAGUACAAACAGUGGAAGAAUAUUUGCUGCAGGAAAACAUGAUGGUUACGUUUCAAAGACUCACACAAUACAUAAGAGAUUUUUGGAUUGGUGUGGUGACGCCAAGUGUUUUGUCUGUAAAUGGCCUCGAGUGG